UGGAGGAGAGGCUUGGGGGAACAAAAACGGUAACAUAGCAAGGAAGAACUGAAGGACAUGGGGUGGGUGGAUACAGAGGAAGCUGGGGGACCGGCAGUUGCUAACUGCUUGGCCUGCUGAUGCCGAGAGCAUGGGUGGAAAAGACUCCAGGGGAGAGGUCAGGAACCAAGGCAACCAGGAGGUUGUGUGGUCCUCCGAGUAGCUCCCAACACUGCUCAUGGAGGUGUGAAUAGGGAGGGCAAGAGAGAGGCAUUCACUCUUCACCCCAACCCUGUCAUGGCUCACACAGGAAGCGAUGGGAGAGCAGAACAGGACGGAAUGGAAGGCUUAGUUGCAGCCCUGCCCAGCCACCAGACCAGGCUCAGCCAGGAAGAAUCGCUAAUUACAGCCAUGGCGAAGAAAUAUCAAUGAGAGCGGCAACACCCUGGUACCUGCCUGUUUGAGAUGAAGAGAUGGAUGUGGCCAUCUCUCCAGGACACGGGUUGGAUGACAGAUCUGAACUGUGGGUGUUGGAGACGGGUCUCAGCUGAAUGAUGGCUGACAGCUGGGACCAGGGUGGAUCACGAGUGGCUGAUGCUCUGACCUUCCGGAGACCAGACACACACCAGGCAUCCUGGUACUGCCUGUAGCAAGUGCCUAAUAGAUGCCAGCUCCCUCGCUGAGCCCCACCCUUCCCCCCACCUUCCCUCCUGCGGUGGUCCAAUCACCUUCCUCUCCUGAUAGAGCCAGGGGAGGCUAUGAACUGCCAGCUGCACUCCCCAGCCUUUCUUAACCCAGAUACACCUCCCCAGGCGCCACUCAGUACCCUCUGCCGGCUGCCAGCUAACCCCUCAGAGGUGUUAACUGAUAAUGAAGACGUUAGCUGUAAGCUGAAGUGAGGUUCCCUGCCAGGAGUAUUUUGGUCUUUCCGGGUUGGUUUUGGAAAUGGGAAAACCUUCCCAACCCAGCCAAAUGGUAGACAGGGAUGCGGGCGAUGGGGGGUGUAGGGGACAGUUGGUGCUGGAGCCUUCCACCUCUCUGAGAGGAACAGAAUAUAGGCCUCCUAGUUUUAGAAGCACCCCAAGAAGGUGAGCCUACUAGCUGAGGUAUGAAGCAUCUUUGAGCCUCAGUUUCCUUGUGUGCAGAUGAAGAAAUAGCAUAGCAGCCUCACAAAAUUGUGUUGCCAAAUGACCUCAGUGAAGCUAAGGGUGUGUGCUGGGCACAAAGGAGCAAGCGUGUUGGCCCUGACCCCCUUCUCCCUUUUCUGUCCUAUCAGCCUCCCCAGCCCUUGCGCGUCACAGAGUCCCCAUCAACCACUGAGUCUAUUGUCCUAAUUUCCAAAGGCUCUUCCCAGACAAAGUCAACAGGAUGGUAGCGGGAUGGAUGCGAGGAAACUCCGCGGACAUUUGGACAUCAGCGGAGGCUGAGGAUUGCAGCUCAGGAGGAAAGCGCUUUCCUCACUGACUGGCCUCCUGUUGUAUGUCCCCCACAUACUGAGCAUGGUUUCCAGGAAGUGGAGAAAUUUGGGGGAGUUGAGGGACCCUUGGGAGGUGCAGCCUUAUUGGGUGGAGAAUGGCACUGGGCAAGCUUUUAGGGUUGUAGCCUCAUCCUACUUCCUCUCUCUGUUUCCUGUGAGUGAUUGACCUGUGAGCUCUCAUUUCCAGUUCCUGCUGCCAUGCUGGGUCUGGGCCUAUCUGUUGUCAUGGUGUCCCAAGAUUUUGGACUCUUCCUUGGGAACCAUAAGCCCACAUAAACCCCUCCUUCUGUGAGCUGUUUGUGGCCAUGGUGUUUAUCAUAGCAACAGAGAGGUAAUUAAUACAGAUCCCUACCACAAAUCACACACUUGAGAUGCACCAGGGGUUUAAAUAUAGUUAAAAAUCUUAUAAACAACUAGAAACCUAUAGGGUGGUUAAAAACAAAAGAAAACAAAAGCAGAAACUUGGGGGAAAAGAGUGACCUGUUAGAUUAUAGGAAAACGUUGAACUUUUAAGGGAUUAAAAUAAACCAUAAACUAAAUAAAAAAGAAAGAAUGUAAGAAACAAUCCGUGAAAAACUAUUUGCAACACAAACCUAAGAGUGGUGUUUUGUAACCUCUCACCCAUCAGUAAGAUGCAGUUUACUGCCUCAGCCUGUUCCCCAGCCACUGAUGGGGUCUCCAUGAGUCAGCCCAUCUGGCCAUGCUGGGAACACAUCUCCCCUAUGACCUCCAGGGAAACACAGCUGAGCAUCCUUCGAUCGUACCCUCAGGUCCCUUCUGCUCCUAGCCUCUAGCCAGCAGAGGUCUCGGGUGAGUCCUGGGUUUCUCAUCUGUCUUUGCUCACUCCUGUUCAGCUCUCAUUUAAUCCAAGGCAUUAAAUCCGACCUUUAAGUAGAAGACCAGAAAUCUGUCUCCAGCUCAAAACUGUCCCCAGAGCUACAGCCCCGUCCAUACCUCUGCAAUCCCACAGUUCCCAUGGAGCUCUGUUGGUGUCCUACCCUUUACACACACAUAGUCAGGACUGGAGCACAGGCGUAUACCACUCAGGCCCCACAAGCAGAGAGGCCCUAUGCUUGACUAAGGCUCCCCUGUCCUACAUCACUAAGAAAUUAAAUAAAAUUGCCCGAAGGGCCAUUUAUUUUCAUUUUUGCUCAGGGACUCAUACAUAGUGCAUCCCAUUCUUCCCACAGCUGGAUCCCUUCUCUACAGCUGCCCCCUUCCAUUCUGGCUACACAAUGAGCAUCCCUAAUCUCAAACUCCAAAACCCCAGACGUCUGAGCUGCUGGCAUAACGCCACAAGUAGAGAAGUCAGUAGGGUGGACGUGGACCUGGAGAUGUAGAGUACUUGUCUGGCUGCACAGAAUCUUGAACUCAAUCUCCAGCACCACACAAAUUAGCAACAGAGGUAUAUGCCUGUGAUCCUAGCACCUGGGAGUUGAAGACAGGAAGAUCAAGUCCUGAUAUUAUCCAGGCUAUCAAUGCCUCUCUCUCUCUCUCUCUCUCUCUCUCUCUCUCUCUCUCUCUCUCUCUCUCUCUCUCUCUCUCUCUGUGUCUUUAAUUAUUUCAUGUGUAAGUGUUUUGUCUUUAUGUAUUUCUGUGCACAUAUGUAUUUCUGUGUGCAUGUGUGUGCAGUAUCCUAGAGUCCAGAAGAGGGCAUCAGCUCCUUCUUGAAUUAGAGUUAUAAAUGGUUGUGAGCCACCAUGUGGGUUCUGGGAAUCAAACCCAGGUCCUCUGGAAGAGCAACCAGAGUGCUUAAGCAAUGAGCCUCCUCUCUCCUGCCCCUGCUGCCGCUCCCCACCCCAGCACUCUUGUACAUGUUAUCUUUCAUGUUCCCAUCUGGUUUUCCUCCAUGAAGGCAUAAGCUCCACGGAGAAGGUGUUUGGGUCAGUUCAGUUCGCUGCCACGUUCCUAACUAAACCAGUGUUCAACAUAAACAAGGCACCUGACAAAUAUCUACUGAUAAAUGAACAUGGGGAGAGAGAAAUGGACAGAAGGCCUGAGUGGAGCCAACUCACCAGCAGAGACCCAGAAAUGGCCAAUGGAUACAUGUAUUGUAUCAUUAGCACCCAGAGAAACAUAAAGUAGAAUCAUUUUCUCCUAUUGGGUUGGCAGGAGUGUAAGCUGCUGCUAGUGGCAGUGUCUGGGAAAGACAGCCUUGUGCACGGUCUGUGGGAGUGUGAGGCAGCCUGACCUUCCCUAAGUGUAUCUGGUUGUACAGAACAGAUCAAAUGUGCAAAUAUGCACAUCCUCUGACUUGGGUAGAGCACUUCCAAAAACAUCUUGAAGGUCUCACAGUGCAAAUGUACACAGACGAACAAACCCAGAGGUUCCUUGAGUGAGGUGUAUAAAUAGCCAAAUGCGGGAAACCACCUAAAUGGCCCCGACAGGAUUAAUAAUUGAUGAAGAAUUUACAGACCAUCUACACAAUGGAUGUGAAGGGAAGAGUUGCAUGGAUAAACAUGGGUGGUCCACAUGUUUGGCAAAAAAACAAAACAAAACAAAACAAAACAAAACAAAACUGUAAUGGAGUCACACACCUGGUAUAGCCAUGCAUUUUGGUUUUAAGAAUAUGUUUGUAAGCACAAGGGGAAAGGUCCAGAAGGACAAAUAAUCAAAUGCCUUAGCUGUGGACAGUUGGUCCCUGCGAGGAAGGGCUCCAAUGCAUGCUUUCAAUUACAGGUAGGCAGCUGGGUAGGAGACAGACUACUUUAAUGCUGGGAAGGUUCCUCCAUCUAGGAUAAGAGCAUCCUGUGCCACCUCUGGGUAAAAGGAUGCGGAAUGCCCUUCCAAGGACCAGUAGCCCUACCCUGUCUCAUCCCUGUGGCCUCUCUCCUCCAUCUCACACCUCAGACACUCUGAGCUCUUUCUAUUCCUGAUUCCCUUCACAGCUCCACGCUCGUCUGUCUCACAGCUCUGUUCACAGGCACACAGGCCCAGCUCGCCUUGCCCCAUGACCUCCUUGGCCUAGCUCUGCUGUUAAAAGCCAGAAAGAGACUUGCCUUUCUUUCUUUUCUUUUUGGUUUUUCAAGACAUCUAGCUCUGCUGUUAAAAGCCAGAAAGAGACUUGCCUUUCUUUCUUUUCUUCUUGGCUUUUCGAGACAGGGUCUCUCUGUGUCGCCUUGGCUGUCCUGGAACUCUCUCUGUAGACCAGGCUGGCCUUAAACUCAGAGAUCCGUGUGUCUCUACCUCCCAAGUGCUGGGAUUAAAGGCAUGUGCUACCGCUUCCCGGUCAAGAGUCCUGUUGCACUCUUCAGGACCAGGACUACAAUCUGAGCCUCAGAGCUCUGCCAUGGGGACAAUUUGGGGGUCAGUGACUGUGACCUAAAUAGGCCAACUGCCUCUAGUUGCAAGCUAGCCAGAGUAGGGAACAAUGGUAUAGAUAGACCAUACCUGGGACUGAGAAAACACUCCCAUCAAGGAAGGAGCCCUUCUGAGAACUGGGAACUUCCAGGUAAGAGAGCUGUCAGGUGGCUGUGGUACCAAGCAUUUGCAAGCCAGAGUGACAGCAGGAGAUGUGCAGGAGCUGAGCCUCCAGUGGUAGGGUACUUGGCAGGUGUGCAUGUCGUCUAGAUCUGGAGAACCAAGCUGGGCCUCUCUGAACAAGCACUUGCUGCAGUGACAUAGAGUCCUUGAUUGG